rnacentral:rRNA from 1 species
GUGAGGAAUCUUCCACAAUGGGCGCAAGCCUGAUCCAGCCAUGCCGCGUGCAGGAAGACGCAUCUAUGGUGUGUAAACUGCUUUUGUACGGGAAGAAACACUCCCUCGUGAGGGAGCUUGACGGUACCGUAAGAAUAAGGAUCGGCUAACUCCGUGCCAGCAGCCGCGGUAAUACGGAGGAUCCAAACGUUAUCCGGAAUCAUUGGGUUUAAAGGGUCCGUAGGCGGUUUAAUAAGUCAGUGGUGAAAGCCCAUCGCUCAACGAUGGAACGGCCAUUGAUACUGUUAGACUUGAAUUACAAGGAAGUAACUAGAAUAUGUAGUGUAGCGGUGAAAUGCUUAGAUAUUACAUGGAAUACCAAUUGCGAAGGCAGGUUACUACUUGUGGAUUGACGCUGAUGGACGAAAGCGUGGGGAGCGAACAGGAUUAGAAACCCGAGUAGUCC